ACACUCCUACGGAGGCAGCAGUGGGGAAUAUUGCACAAUGGGCGCAAGCCUGAUGCAGCCAUGCCGCGUGUGUGAAGAAGGCCUUCGGGUUGUAAAGCACUUUCAGCGGGGAGGAAGGCGAUACGGUUAAUAACCGUGUUGAUUGACGUUACCCGCAGAAGAAGCACCGGCUAACUCCGUGCCAGCAGCCGCGGUAAUACGGAGGGUGCAAGCGUUAAUCGGAAUUACUGGGCGUAAAGCGCACGCAGGCGGUCUGUCAAGUCGGAUGUGAAAUCCCCGGGCUCAACCUGGGAACUGCAUUCGAAACUGGCAGGCUUGAGUCUUGUAGAGGGGGGUAGAAUUCCAGGUGUAGCGGUGAAAUGCGUAGAGAUCUGGAGGAAUACCGGUGGCGAAGGCGGCCCCCUGGACAAAGACUGACGCUCAGGUGCGAAAGCGUGGGGAGCAAACAGGAUUAGAAACCCUGGUAGUCCCAUGA
rnacentral:rRNA from 1 species